rfam:Candidatus Wildermuthbacteria bacterium RIFCSPHIGHO2_02_FTLL_47_12 rifcsphigho2_02_scaffold_8608, whole genome shotgun sequence.
GCGUGAGUGCUGGAGCGGCCAAUCAGGCGACGCUGUAAACGUCGUGCCUUCGGGCUACGGGGGUUCGAAUCCCUCCUCACGCA